GGGGAAUAUUGGGCAAUGGGCGCAAGCCUGACCCAGCCAUGCCGCGUGAGUGACGAAGGCCUUAGGGUUGUAAAGCUCUUUCGGCGGGGACGAUGAUGACGGUACCCGCAGAAGAAGCCCCGGCUAACUUCGUGCCAGCAGCCGCGGUAAUACGAAGGGGGCGAGCGUUGUUCGGAAUCACUGGGCGUAAAGGGCACGUAGGCGGCCGUGCAAGUUGGGCGUGAAAGCCCCGGGCUCAACCCGGGAUGUGCGCUCAAGACUGCAUGGCUCGAGUUCGGAAGAGGGUGGCGGAAUUCCCAGUGUAGAGGUGAAAUUCGUAGAUAUUGGGAAGAACACCGGUGGCGAAGGCGGCUACCUGGUCCGAUACUGACGCUGAGGUGCGAAAGCGUGGGGAGCAAAC
rnacentral:rRNA from 1 species